CACCGAAGCUGCGGCAGCGACGCUGAUGCGUUGUUGGGUAGGGGAGCGUUCUGUAAGCCUGCGAAGGUGUGCUGUGAGGCAUGCUGGAGGUAUCAGAAGUGCGAAUGCUGACAUAAGUAACGAUAAAGCGGGUGAAAAGCCCGCUCGCCGGAAGACCAAGGGUUCCUGUCCAACGUUAAUCGGGGCAGGGUGAGUCGACCCCUAAGGCGAGGCCGAAAGGCGUAGUCGAUGGGAAACAGGUUAAUAUUCCUGUACUUGGUGUUACUGCGAAGGGGGGACGGAGAAGGCUAUGUUGGCCGGGCGACGGUUGUCCCGGUUUAAGCGUGUAGGCUGGUUUUCCAGGCAAAUCCGGAAAAUCAAGGCUGAGGCGUGAUGACGAGGCACUACGGUGCUGAAGCAACAAAUGCCCUGCUUCCAGGAAAAGCCUCUAAGCAUCAGGUAACAUCAAAUCGUACCCCAAACCGACACAGGUGGUCAGGUAGAGAAUACCAAGGCGCUUGAGAGAACUCGGGUGAAGGAACUAGGCAAAAUGGUGCCGUAACUUCGGGAGAAGG
rnacentral:rRNA from 1 species